AGCAGCCGCGGUAAUUCCAGCUCCAAUAGCGUAUAUUAAAGUUGUUGCAGUUAAAAAGCUCGUAGUUGAAUUUCGGGAUUGGCGCAUCGGUCGUGCCUCACGGGGUAUGAACUGGUGCAGUCAAUUUCUCACCUUCUGGAGAACCGCGAUGUCCUUAAUUGGAUGCCGCGGGGAACCAGGACCUUUACUUUGAAAAAAUUAGAGUGUUUAAAGCAGGCAUUUUUGCUUGAAUACAUUAGCAUGGAAUAAUAAAAUAGGACGGCAUGGUUCUAUUUUGUUGGUUUCUAGGACCACCGUAAUGAUUAAUAGGGAUAGUUGGGGGCAUUAGUAUUCAAUUGUCAGAGGUGAAAUUCUUGGAUUUAUUGAAGACUAACUACUGCGAAAGCAUUUGCCAAGGAUGUUUUCAUUAAUCAAGAACGAAGUUAGGGGAUCGAAGACGAUCAGAUACCGUCGUAGUCUUAACCAUAAACUAUGCCGACUAGGAAUCAGACGAUGUAAUUUUUUAAUGACUCGUUU
rnacentral:rRNA from 1 species